rnacentral:rRNA from 1 species
AAUAUCAAAGGUGAGCCAGUACAGGAUGGACCCGCGUCUGAUUAGCUAGUUGGUAAGGUAACGGCUUACCAAGGCGACGAUCAGUAGCCGACCUGCGAGGGUGAUCGGCCACAUUGGAACUGAGACACGGUCCAAACUCCUACGGGAGGCAGCAGUGGGGAAUAUUGCACAAUGGGCGAAAGCCUGAUGCAGCAACGCCGCGUGAGUGCUGAAGGCCUUCGGG